UCUUCGAGGUUUCUCCGAGUAUUUUAAAAGCGCGUGCCCACGUGCGUACAGCUACGCUUACGAUGAUGGGUCUAGUAUCUUCACAUGUGCCUCUGCAGACUAUGUCAUCACCUUCUGCCCAACUCCUGCCACCAGUCAAAAAUCAUCUGGAAGCCAACAAAACCAGGAGGCAACCACCGUCUCCUUGGUCUCAAGCGGAAGCAAUUUAACAUGCAUUCCAUCCUUGUUCAUCACCGGCUUCAUCGCCAUUUUAGCAAUAGUUUGGCGGUUGUGGUAGUUGCAGUGUCGGUGUCGGCGUCGGUGUCUGAUUUCGCAGUCUCUCCAAUCCAUUUGCCAUUGGGCUAUUAGCCGUUUGGUAUGAAAGGAUUCUCCAGAGCGGACUUGAGGAGACAGCCAAAAUGAAAAAGUCAAAAAAUGAUAUUUAUUGCUGGAUGACCUGACAAACCCCAACUCUAAAUUGGAUUUUUUUUCUUCAAGAGUUUUGCGUAGUUGGGUGAAAGAUUUGAAAAAUAGAGCAAGGGAAGAGACAGUUAGCGUCAUCGAUCACGCCUCUGAGCUGGAAGAGGGACGGUGACAAGUCAAGUGCCGGCGUAGUGAGAAUAUUUUGUAAUUUUAUUAUGUAUACGUUUUCAAUUUUUUGAAUAAAAUAAAAACAUUGGGGACAAUAUUUGUUUAUUUGGGUUAGUGACAACCAUAUGAUCUGAUCUGAGUCGAA